UUUUGCACAUCAGGAGGCAUCCGUUCUGUUAGGAUGCAAUUGUGUGAAAACAAAAUGGAAAAAAACGGAUCCAUCACUAAAUACAUUGAAAGUCAAUAGUCUGCUAUGACAAACGGAUCCGUCCCCAUUGACUUACAUUGU